CAGGCGGUCAGUUUACACCCCGAUUUGUGUUGUUCCGUUCACAUCAAAGUCUCAGUGCAUCAUUAAGUAGAUUAGGCCAGGAGCUGAGGAGUCUAACUUUCGGUCAGACCUUAUCAAUAACUAGUUAAUUUGAUUUGAUGACGUCCCCAUCAUUAGGGAAUAACAGGCUUGGCUUUUAAGGAUUUCAAAUAUAUAGGCACGAACGUUAGUAAAAUCAGUCCAAGAGAGAAAUAAUACAGCAGCAGAGCCGAAAGGAAACUCUAACGAAAACUUAG